AUUGAACGCUGGCGGCAGGCCUAACACAUGCAAGUCGAGCGGAUGAAGGGAGCUUGCUCCUGGAUUCAGCGGCGGACGGGUGAGUAAUGCCUAGGAAUCUGCCUGGUAGUGGGGGAUAACGUCCGGAAACGGGCGCUAAUACCGCAUACGUCCUGAGGGAGAAAGUGGGGGAUCUUCGGACCUCACGCUAUCAGAUGAGCCUAGGUCGGAUUAGCUAGUUGGUGGGGUAAAGGCCUACCAAGGCGACGAUCCGUAACUGGUCUGAGAGGAUGAUCAGUCACACUGGAACUGAGAAACGGUCCAGACUCCUACGGGAGGCAGCAGUGGGGAAUAUUGGAAAAUGGGCGAAAGCCUGAUCCAGCCAUGCCGCGUGUGUGAAGAAGGUCUUCGGAUUGUAAAGCACUUUAAGUGGGGAGGAGGGCAGUAAGUUAAUACCUUGCUGUUUUGACGUUACCAACAGAAUAAGCACCGGCUAACUUCGUG
rnacentral:rRNA from 1 species